GCCAAAGAUGGGUGAAGUGCAGGCGGUGAGAAAAACAGCUCCUCAGGCCCGGCCACCCUUAGACAGCGCGCUCUUUCUCCAACAGUUCUGUGAUCACUAUUCUUGCCUGGCCCCAGCACCCAACGGAAGUGAGAAGGGGAGACUGGCCAGCCACUGGGCACCCUGUUUGUUUAAUGGUGCUUCACGCUGAUUGGAAAGUUUGACCUUGAUCAGCUCAUGGCAGGAACCACCAAAAAUUGUGCUUUUGCAAGAACACAGCGCCAGCCUUUCUAAGAGAAAAGGAAUAAGGGUCAAAAUGGUUUGGUGUUGUGCUAGAACC